rnacentral:ncRNA from 2 species
UGGUGCAUGGCCGUUCUUAGU